rnacentral:rRNA from 1 species
UACGUAGAGUACAAGCAUUAUCCGGAUUUAUUGGGCGUAAAGAGUAUCGUAGGCGGUCUAUUAAGUAACGGGUUAAAUCCUGGGGCUCAACCCUAGAGAUGCUCGUUAAACUGGUAGACUUGUGGAUGUUCGGGGUUACUAGAAUUCUUGGUGGAGGAGUGAAAUCCGUUGAUAUCAAGAAGAAUACCAAAAGCGAAGGCAGGUAACUAGAACAUUCCAGACGCUGAUGAACGAAAGCUAGGGGAGCGAAAGGGAUUAGAGACCCCUGUAGUCCUAGCCGUAAACUAUGAACACUAGCUAUUUCCCGCAAGGGGAGUGGUGAAAGCUAACGCGUUAAGUGUUCCGCCUGGGGAGUACGACCGCAAGGUUAAAACUCAAAGGAAUUGACGGGGAAACGCACAAUCAGCGUGCCAUGUGGUUUAAUUGGAUACGAAACCUUGAACCUUACCUAGAUUUGACAUGUAACUGCAAAUCCCUGGAAACAGGGACUCCUUCGAGGGUGUUACACAGCUGCUGCAUGGUUGUCGUCAGUUCGUGUCGUGAGGCGUCGGCUUAAGUGCCGUAACGAACGCAACCCCUGUGCUAUGUUAAAUAUCCAUAGCAGACUGCCUUGGAUUUUUCCAAGGAGGAAGGAGGGGAUGACGUCAAAUCAGCAUGGCGCUUAUAUCUAGGGCUACACACAUGGCGUAAUGGAUGGGACAACGGGAUGCCAAGGCGCGAGCCGGAGCUAAUCCUUAUAAACCCAUCCUCAGUUUGGAUUGCAGGCUGCAAUUCGCCUGCAUGAAAGGGAGUUGAUAGUAAUCGCGGAUCAGCAACACCGCGGUGAAUACGUUCUCGUUUCUUGUACACACUGCCCGUCAAGUCAACAAAGUCAGUAGUGCCCGAAGUAGGUACCCGCAACCGCAAGGAUCGGGCCUCCUAAGGUAAGACUGGCGAUGGGGGCU